UACAGAGGUCUCAAGCGUUGUUCGGAUUCAUUGGGCGUAAAGGGUGUGUAGGUGGCGCGCUAAGUCGGGUGUGAAAUUUCGGAGCUUAACUCCGGAAACUGCAUUCGAUACUGGCGUGCUUGAGGACUGGAGAGGAGACUGGAAUUCAUGGUGAGCAGUGAAAUGCGUAGAGAUCAAUGAGGAAGACCAGUGGCGAAGGCGGGU
rnacentral:rRNA from 1 species